rnacentral:ncRNA from 1 species
GAAUAGAGGCGCGGCUGACAAAAGUCCCCUGCGGGAGCCCUUCACCGGGCGCGGAUCGCAGGCAAAAGGGGAAGCCGCCGAAACAACUGACCGGGUGUAGGGUCAGGCGUUGGGCGUCGGAAGAAUAUUCCGCCGACUGUCACAGCUUAGGCUGUGGAGCGCUAUUCGA